GUUCCGCAAGGAUUAAUAGAGAAACCGGUGGAAAUCCGGUGCGAUCCCGUCACUGUAAUAGGGAGCUUUGAAACAAUUUAUGUCACUGGACCAUGAAGCAAAGUUGAUCUGGGAAGGCGUUUUAAAGUGUUGAACUUAAGUCAGGAGAACUGCUUACAAU
rnacentral:ncRNA from 1 species